AAGUUCAUUUCAGUCUGUGGCUGGUUACAGGAAGAGAAGGAACAAAUGAGCAAAGUUUCUCUCUCUUCUUACACUCCCAUGUCAAGCAUGCCUUUCCCUUGAAUCAACAGAACUCCCCUGCCUCCCUAAUCCAGAAUCAGGUAAUUCCCGGAAGACUGUAAAUUCAUUGGGAGUUUCCUUUUCCUUCUUAUUUAAAAGAAAUUUCUGGCUUUAUGGUUCUACUCACCAUAUUCACCUUCAUCCCCUAAUACUCUGCCCCAUCCCAGGUCCAUGCCCAAGUAAAAAUAACAAGGGAACAAGAAGAGGGCAGGCAGGGGCUCCAGCUCAUUUAAUACCUUCUGUAUAUUCUUCAGAAGGAUGAUGCUCAGGUCCCUUCAGUUCACAAUCAAUACAUUUUGAAGUCACAAGUAAUUUGGCUUGAAUCUAUCACCUCCCCACCCAGAGUCAAGUGAACCAUGAAUGGCAAUUCAGUGCAAAAGGUCUGCAGACAUUUUCCGGUUGUUGGCCCUAAAAGCUUGAGGGGGCCUUCCCAGAGAUUAGGAUUCAGCCCCUGAUCCAGCGGCCAACAUCCUGCUGACAAGACUGCCAUAAGCGCCAAGGACCACUCAGAUCUUCAAGAAAGCAGCUCUUCUUAUCACAUCAGGGAAGAGGCCUCUGUUUGGCAGUAAAGCACCAAGUGGGUUGUGGUGAGAUCACAGGAUAAAGGCUACUUCCUGUCUUCAGUCUCUUUGA
rnacentral:lncRNA from 1 species